rnacentral:rRNA from 1 species
ACAGCAGUCGCCGCGGUAAUACAGAGGGUGCGAGCGUUAAUCGGAUUUACUGGGCGUAAAGCGUGCGUAGGCGGCUAAUUGAGUCGGAUGUGAAAUCCCCGAGCUUAACUUGGGAAUUGCAUUCGAUACUGGUUAGCUAGAGUGUGGGAGAGGAUGGUAGAAUUCCAGGUGUAGCGGUGAAAUGCGUAGAGAUCUGGAGGAAUACCGAUGGCGAAGGCAGCCAUCUGGCCUAACACUGACGCUGAGGUACGAAAGCAUGGGGAGCAAACAGGAUUAGAUACCCGCGUAGUCCCUGUCUCUUAUAC